rnacentral:rRNA from 1 species
CACGUAGGGUGCAAGCGUUGUCCGGAUUCAUUGGGCGUAAAGGGCUAGUAGGCGGCUUAGCAAGUCGGGUGUGAAAACUUCAGGCUCAACCUGGAGCGGCCAUCCGAUACUGCUAUGGCUAGAGUCCGGUAGGGGACCACGGAAUUCCUGGUGUAGCGGUGAAAUGCGCAGAUAUCAGGAAGAACACCCGUGGCGAAGGCGGCUCUCUGGGACGGUACUGACGCUGAGACGCGAAAGCGUGGGGAGCGAACAGG